rnacentral:rRNA from 1 species
UACGGAGGGUGCAAGCGUUAAUCGGAAUUACUGGGCGUAAAGCGCACGCAGGUGGCUGAGUCAGUCGAUUGUGAAAGCCCUGGGCUUAACCUGGGAAUUGCAGUCGAUACUACUCAGCUAGAGUAUGGGAGAGGGUAGUGGAAUUCCCGGUGUAGCGGUGAAAUGCGUAGAUAUCGGGAGGAACAUCAGUGGCGAAGGCGGCUACCUGGCCCAAUACUGACACUCAGGUGCGACAGCGUGGGGAGCGAACAGG